rnacentral:rRNA from 1 species
CCUACGGGAGGCAGCAGUGGGGAAUUUUGGACAAUGGGCGCAAGCCUGAUCCAGCAAUGCCGCGUGCAGGAUGAAGGCCUUCGGGUUGUAAACUGCUUUUGUACGGAACGAAACGGUCUGCUCUAAUACAGUGGGCUAAUGACGGUACCGUAAGAAUAAGCACCGGCUAACUACGUGCCAGCAGCCGCGGUAAUACGUAGGGUGCGAGCGUUAAUCGGAAUUACUGGGCGUAAAGCGUGCGCAGGCGGUUAUAUAAGACAGAUGUGAAAUCCCCGGGCUCAACCUGGGACCUGCAUUUGUGACUGUAUAGCUAGAGUGCGGCAGAGGGGGAUGGAAUUCCGCGUGUAGCAGUGAAAUGCGUAGAUAUGCGGAGGAACACCGAUGGCGAAGGCAAUCCCCUGGGCCUGCACUGACGCUCAUGCACGAAAGCGUGGGGAGCAAACAGGAUUAGAUACCCUGGUAGUCCACGCCCUAAACGAUGUCAACUGGUUGUUGGGUCUUCACUGACUCAGUAACGAAGCUAACGCGUGAAGUUGACCGCCUGGGGAGUACGGCCGCAGGUUGAAACUCAAAGGAUUGACGGCNGAGACGCGACGGACGACGACGAGGGAGAGG